AGUGAACGCUGGCGGUAGGCCUAACACAUGCAAGUCGAACGGCAGCACAGUAAGAGCUUGCUCUUACGGGUGGCGAGUGGCGGACGGGUGAGGAAUACAUCGGAAUCUACUUUUUCGUGGGGGAUAACGUAGGGAAACUUACGCUAAUACCGCAUACGACCUACGGGUGAAAGCAGGGGAUCUUCGGACCUUGCGCGAUUGAAUGAGCCGAUGUCGGAUUAGCUAGUUGGCGGGGUAAAGGCCCACCAAGGCGACGAUCCGUAGCUGGUCUGAGAGGAUGAUCAGCCACACUGGAACUGAGACACGGUCCAGACUCCUACGGGAGGCAGCAGUGGGGAAUAUUGGACAAAGGGCGCAAGCCUGAUCCAGCCAUACCGCGUGGGUGAAGAAGGCCUUCGGGUUGUAAAGACCUUUUGUUGGAAAAGAAAAGCAGCAGGUUAAUACCCCGCUGUUCUGACGGUACCCAAAGAAUAAGCACCGGCUAACUUCGUG
rnacentral:rRNA from 1 species